GCCUACGGGGCGCAGCAGUAGGGAAUUUUCGUCAAUGGGCGCAAGCCUGAACGAGCAAUGCCGCGUGAACGAGGAAGGUCUUCGGAUCGUAAAGUUCUGUUGAAGGGGAAAAGGAGCAGAGAGAGGAAAUGGUCUCCGAUUGAUAUUACCCUUCGAGGAAGUCACGGCUAACUACGUGCCAGCAGCCGCGGUAAUACGUAGGUGGCGAGCGUUAUCCGGAAUGAUUGGGCGUAAAGGGUGCGUAGGCGGCCUGCUAAGUCUGGAGUGAAAGGUACCGGCUCAACCGGUACAGGCUCUGGAAACUG
rnacentral:rRNA from 1 species